UACGUAGGGGGCGAGCGUUGUCCGAAGUUACUGGGCGUAAAGCGCGCGUAGGCGGUUAUUUAAGUCUGGGGUGAAAGGUUCAGCGCUCAACGUGAACAGUGCCUUGGAUACUGGAUGACUUGAGUCUGGGAGGGGGAAGGGGAAUUCCUGGUGUAGCGGUGAAAUGCGUAGAUAUCAGGAGGAACACCGGUGGCGAAGGCGCCUUCCUGGCCUAAGACUGACGCUGAGGUGCGAAAGCGUGGGGAGCAAACGGG
rnacentral:rRNA from 1 species